AAAAAACCAACACCAGUUUAAUAUGGUAUAGUAUUUUGUUCCUCUUCUUUUCAGUUGCUUUUCAGAAGGUUGAUUGAUCUGGCAUAACAUAUAUGAGUUAUGUUCUUAUAGAUCUGCAUCUGAAUUUGUUUUGCAGUGAGAUGAUGUUCAUGAUGAGGUGCAGCAAGAGGCUGGUUGGAUUAUCUUGCCAGGAGUAGUAGAUUAGGUAUAGAUGUGGUUUGCAGAAUACUAGUCGUUUGUGCAUCGUAGCAGUGUGUUAGGGAUAUCUUUCAUAUAGGCUAGCAAGAGGGAUAACUUUAGGUUGAUUAGAAGGAUUUGUCGCGUGUCAAUCAGGAGAG
rnacentral:lncRNA from 1 species